rnacentral:rRNA from 1 species
UUCCGGUUGAUCCUGCCGGAGGCCAUUGCUCUUGGGGUCCGAUUUAGCCAUGCUAGUCGCACGGGCUCAGACCCGUGGCAAAUAGCUCAGUAGCACGUGGCCAAUCUACCCUCCGGAAUGGAAUACCCUCGGGAAACUGAGGUUAAUCCCGUAUACGGCUCCCACUCUUGAAUGACGGGAGUCCGAAAUGCUCCGGCGCCGGAGGAUGAGGCUGCGGCCGAUUAGGUUGACGGUGGGGUAACGGCCCACCGUGCCAAUAAUCGGUCUGGGUCAUGAGAGUGAGAACCCAGAGACGGACUCUGAGACAAGAGUCCGGGCCCUACGGGGCGCAGCAGGCGCGAAACCUUUACACUGCACGUCAGUGCGAUAAGGGGACCCCAAGUGCGCAGGCAUAGUGCCUGCGCUUUUCUGGACUGUAGGGCGGUCCAGGAACAAGGGCUGGGCAAGACCGGUGCCAGCCGCCGCGGU